rnacentral:rRNA from 1 species
GGAUUGAACGCUAGCGGGAUGCUUUACACAUGCAAGUCGAACGGCAGCGCGGACUUCGGUCUGGCGGCGAGUGGCGAACGGGUGAGUAAUAUAUCGGAACGUGCCCAGUAGCGGGGGAUAACUACGCGAAAGCGUGGCUAAUACCGCAUACGCCCUACGGGGGAAAGGGGGGAUUCUUCGGAACCUCUCACUAUUGGAGCGGCCGAUAUCAGAUUAGCUAGUUGGUGAGGUAAAGGCUCACCAAGGCGACGAUCUGUAGCCGGUUUGAGAGGACGACCAGCCACACUGGGACUGAGACACGGCCCAGACUCCUACGGGAGGCAGCAGUGGGGAAUUUGGACAUGGGGGAAACCUGAUCCAGCCAUCGCGCGUGUGC